rnacentral:rRNA from 1 species
CCUACGGGAGGCAGCAGUGAGGAAUAUUGGUCAAUGGACGCAAGUCUGAACCAGCCAUGCCGCGUUCAGGAAGACGGCUCUAUGAGUUGUAAACUGCUUUUGUACGAGGGUAAACGCAGAUACGCGUAUCUGUCUGAAAGUAUCGUACGAAUAAGGAUCGGCUAACUCAGUGCCAGCAGCCGCGGUAAUACGGAGGAUUCAAGCGUUAUCCGGAUUUAUUGGGUUUAAAGGGUGCGUAGGCGGUCGGAUAAGUUAGAGGUGACAUCCCGAGGCUCAACUUCGGAAUUGCCUCUGAUACUGUUCGGCUAGAGAGUAGUUGCGUUAGGCGGAAUGUAUGGUGUAGCUGUGAAAUGCUUAGAGAUCAUACAGAACACCGAUUGCGAAGGCAGCUUACCAAGCUACUUCUGACGUUGAGGCACGAAAGCGUGGGGAGCAAACAGGAUUAGAUACCCCAGUAGUC